UUAUAUUCCAAGGUGAGUGCGCAUUUAC
rnacentral:sRNA from 1 species